rnacentral:snRNA from 2 species
AUACUCUGGUUUCUCUUCAGAUCAUAUAAAUGUUUUGCCUUUUACUAAAGAUUUCCAUGGAGAGGAACAACUUUGAGUCUUAAGUAGAUUUUUUGGGUCCUUGUUUCAGUAAAGUUU